rnacentral:lncRNA from 1 species
UUUAUAUUAUUUUAAAUUUCAAAUGCAUAUUGCAUAUUGUAUGAAAGGUAGAGCUUGAUGAGCUCUAACUUCACUCUAUCCAAAACUUUUUCAUUUGAGGACUUUUAGUGCCUAGUUGGACCUAGUUGGACCUAGUCAAAUUUUGAAAUUUCACAUUUCCACAACUACACACACGUUUUCGAAACCCGAGACGUCCCCCACUCGAAAAGUCAUGAAUACAAAGAUUGUUCCACUCAUCA